AUGAGUAGACACAAAGCUAAGUAUUCAUCUUCAGAAAUAAUUGGUUGUUGCUCCUCCAUGAUGAGGCCGCUACGAGGUCGUUUCGAUCUCAUCUUGCUAUUUGUCCAUGAUUCAAGGUAAUUUUGAGUAGUAGUAUUAAUUUGGAAUUGAAAUAGUGAUGGUGGAGUUGUUGUGGUUGGAGAAUUCAAAGCUUCAAGUGCCAUAACUAGUUGUUUUUUUCUUAGUGAUUGAAGAAAUUUGUGAGUGAAAAGAAGAUAAA
rnacentral:misc_RNA from 1 species